rfam:Aedes albopictus isolate Foshan contig62, whole genome shotgun sequence.
UGUUUUGUGGCUCAGUUGAUUAAAGCGUCGGUCUAGCGAAUACGGAGCUGUGAGUUCAAAUCCCACCAGAACGA